UUGAAAGGGAAACGAUUGAAGUCAGUCGUACCAGCGGGAAAUCAACCUUUCGAGUGGGGUUUUGGAGUUUUGAAGUGUGUCAAAACCUUUGAGAUUUCAAAAUAUUCGCUCUUUUGGUGUACUUUCUCGUGGGUAGGUUAACAUCGAUUUUGAUCAUCAUAAAAAGAUUGGAGGAAUGUAGCUUCGAUCUUGUAUUGAAGUGUUAUAGCCUCUGGUAAAUGUGAUGAUUAGGAUCGAGGAUUGCAACGAAUACCCUUUUGGGCUAUCCGCCUGAUCUCUGAUACGUGGCCUUGGUAUCGAAAGCGUGCUUAUGGUAUUGAGGUAUUACGGUCAAAAGGUUAGAACGGAUUACAUUCGUUAAGGAUGUUGACGUA
rnacentral:rRNA from 1 species